rnacentral:rRNA from 1 species
GACAGAGGGUGCGAACGUUGUUCGGAAUUACUGGGCGUAAAGCGCAUGUAGGCGGCAGCGCAAGUCGGGCGUGAAAUCCCACGGCUCAACCGUGGAAGUGCACUCGAAACUGCGCAGCUAGAGUCCUGGAGAGGAAGGUGGAAUGCUUGGUGUAGAGGUGAAAUUCGUAGAUAUCGUGAGGAAGACCGGUGGCGAAGGCGGAUCUCUGGACAGUUCCUGACGCUGAGGCGCGAAGGCCAGGGGAGCAAACGGG